GUCCGCCGCGCGCGUCGAGCCCGCUCGGCCGCCCCUCCGUCGGAGCAGAGGCCCUGUAAGCGCAGUCGGUAAAUAAGCUUGUAUCCGAGCAGCCUGCCGAUGGCCUCCACUCAGACUUCCCUGCACCCUGGAGGAGAGGGCAGGUGCAGGAGGAGGGGGCAGCCCUCCCUUGAUCGGGUGAGCCAGCUGUCCAACCGGGAACCGCCUCCCUUCAAGCAAGCCCUCAGAAGGACCGACCUGCUUUGUACUUUGAUGUAGCAGCCGACGGCUGAGCCUGCAGCCCGCCCCCCCGGGCAGUGUUUAAGAAAAAAAAAAAAAACCCAGUAAAAAAAAAAGUUUGACAACCG